GACCAAGUAACAAAGGGCACACGGUGGAUGCCUUGGCAGUCAGAGGCGAUGAAAGACGUGGCAGGCUGCGAUAAGCCUCGGGGAGCCGCCUAGCAGGCUUUGAUCCGGGGAUGUCUGAAUGGGGAAACCCACGGCGGGUAAUGCUGCCGUAUCUCGCGCCGAAUCCAUAGGCGUGAAGAAGCGAACCCAGGGAAGUGAAACAUCUCAGUACCUGGAGGAAAAGACAACAAUAGUGAUUCCCUCAGUAGUGGCGAGCGAAAGGGGAAGAGGCCAAACCGGCUCAAGAAAUUGAGCCGGGGUUGCGGGGCCGCGUUUAGCAGUGAGUCUCUGUAGCCGAACCGGAUGGAAAGCCGGACGACACAGGGUGACAGUCCCGUAGACGAAACGGAGACUCACGCGAGCGGGUACCCCAAGUAAGGCGGGACACGUGAAAUCCUGUCUGAAUCUGUGAGGACCAUCUCAUAAGCCUAAAUACUACUGACUGACCGAUAGUGAACCAGUACCGCGAGGGAAAGGUGACAAGCACCCCGGCGAGGGGAGUGAAAAGACCUGAAACCGUGUGUCUACAAGCAAGGGAAGCACCUUAUGAGUGCGACUCUGUACCUUUUGCAUCAUGAAUCGGCGACUUAAUACGCGUGGCGAGCUUAAGCCGGAGAGGCGGAGGCGCAGCGAAAGCGAGUCCGAAAUGGGCGAAAGUCGCUCGUAUUAUAACCCGAAGCCAGGUGAUCUACUCAUGGCCAGGUUGAAGCGCGGGUAAAACCGCGUGGAGGACCGAACUCAUGGAGGUUGAAAACUUCUGGGAUGAGCUGUGAGUAGGGGUGAAAGGCCAAUCAAACUUGGUGAUAGCUGGUUCUCCCCGAAAGAUAUUUAGGUAUCGCCUCGGACUUCAUUCCGGGAGGUAGAGCACUGGAACGGCUAGGGGUCUCACCAGAUUACCAAACCGUACCAAACUCCGAAUGCCCGUGAAAUGUGACUCCGGGAGGCAGUGCGUGAGUGAUAACAUCCAUGCGCGAGAGGGAUACACCCCAGACCAACAGCUAAGGUCCCAAAGUCUGUGCUAAGUGGGAAAGGAUGUGGCAGCGCUCAGACAACCAGGAAGUUGGCUUAGAAGCAGCCAUCUUUAAGAGAAAGCGUAAUAGCUCACUGGUCAAGCGAGGCCGCGCCGAAAAUUCAACGGGGCUCAAGCACAGCACCGAAGCUCUGGGUAGUCGAAAGACUGCGGUAGGGGAGCGUUGCAGCGACGGCGAAGGUAGACCGAAAGGACUACUGGAGUUUCUGCGAGAGCUGAUGCCGAUAUGAGUAGCGAUAAAGCGGGUGAGAAACCCGCUCGCCGUAAGCCCAAGGUUUCCCGGGGGAGGUUCAUCCGCCCGGGGUGAGUCGGAGCCUAAGUCGAGGCCGAAAGGCGUAGAUGAUGGGAAUCCGGUUAAUAUUCCGGAACCACCUCAUGACGUUGAUGCCGGGGGGACGGAGGAGGUUAACGCAGCCGGGUGUUGGAAGUCCCGGUUCAAAGCCGUAGGGUGCCUUCGAGGAAAGUAAAACUUGAAGGCAUAAGCCCGAGAGCUGAUGACGUGGUCGAAAGACCUGAAGUGCGCAAUACCAUGCUCCCAAGAAAAGCCCCGUACGAAGCGGAGUCAUGUGGUGUCCGUACCGCAAACCGACACAGGUGGGCGAGGAGAAAAUCCUCAGGCGCUUGAGAGAAAUCUGGCCAAGGAACUAGGCAAAUUGCCACCGUAACUUCGGAAGAAGGUGGGCCCAUGGUACGUGAAGGGACUUGCUCCCGUAGCGGAAAUGGGUCGCAGCGAAAUGGGGGUAGCGACUGUUUACCAAAAACACAGGACUCUGCAAACUCACGAAGAGGAGGUAUAGGGUCUGACGCCUGCCCGGUGCUGGAAGGUUAAGGGGAUGAGUCAGCGCAAGCGAAGCUCUGAUCCGAAGCCCCAGUAAACGGCGGCCGUAACUAUAACGGUCCUAAGGUAGCGAAAUUCCUUGUCGGGUAAGUUCCGACCUGCACGAAAGGCGUAACGACUUCCCCACUGUCUCGGCCAGGUGCUCAGCGAAAUUGAAAUAGCUGUGAAGAUGCAGUUUACCCGCAGCAAGACGGAAAGACCCCGUGAACCUUUACUCUACUUUGACAGUGACACUAGGGCUUGCUUGUGUAGGAUAGGUGGGAGGCUUUGAAGCCGGGCCGCUAGGUUCGGUGGAGCCAAUGGUGAAAUACCACCCUGGCGAGUUCUGGUGUCUCACUCAGUUCCCUGACCGGGAACGAGGACACUGUCUGAUGGGGAGUUUGACUGGGGCGGUCGCCUCCCAAAAAGUAACGGAGGCGCGCGAAGGUUCCCUCAGCCUGAUUGGAAACCAGGCGUCGAGUGCAAUGGCAUAAGGGAGCUUGACUGCGAGACCGACGGGUCGAGCAGGUGCGAAAGCAGGUCAUAGUGAUCCGGUGGUUCUGUAUGGAAGGGCCAUCGCUCAACGGAUAAAAGGUACUCCGGGGAUAACAGGCUUAUCACGCCCAAGAGUUCACAUCGACGGCGUGGUUUGGCACCUCGAUGUCGGCUCAUCGCAUCCUGGGGCUGGAGCAGGUCCCAAGGGUUUGGCUGUUCGCCAAUUAAAGCGGUACGCGAGCUGGGUUCAAAACGUCGUGAGACAGUUUG
rnacentral:rRNA from 1 species